rnacentral:lncRNA from 1 species
CUGGCCGCGGCGGACGAGAGACGCGGCGAGGGGAGGGCAGCGCGCGCGGAGCGCCAAUGAGUUCACUUUCUUUUUCUCCCCCGCGCUCUCCCUCUCUCCCUUCCCGCCGGCCCCCUCCAGCCUCCUCCUCCUCGGCCGGCGAGGCCCGGGCCGGAGUUUUUCGGUCCCCGGCCCCCCGGGGGAGCCGGAGAACGGAGAAGCGCGUGAGGUGAGCCCGCGAGCCGGGCGGGCGCAGGGCCCGGGAGGGGUACCCGGGACCUGAACGGGGUGACGUGGGAGACGCGCCGGACAGAGAGUGCCCGGGCCCCAGGCGCGUACACGUGUCCGUGUGUGUGUGUGUGUGUGUGUGCGUGUGUGUGUGCGCGCGCGAGAGAGAGUGCAGGAGCCGAACCGAGGAGCCUACCAUGCGCUUCCCCCGUGCGGAUUCGCGGGAGAGCCCAAUCGCGGGGCGAGCUGGACCGGCCGCGAUCAUUUAUAAUCCCGGACUCCUCCGCGCCGCCACUUGUCAAGAUGACAGAUGAUGGAAGGCAGAAGUGCACCAAGAUGGAAAAGUGAGCAGCCAGAUGCCUGAGUAUCCCUAGCCCAUCACUGUCUCUGCCACCAAAGUUGUGCACAUCACCCAAAAGGACCGUCCUUCACCACUUAGCCAUCGCUUUUCACCGGGAACCCAGUUCCCCAUCAGUAGCGAUCUGAAAGCUGUGUAAGGAACUAGGGGUGACCAAGAUAAAUCAAAGGACAAAAAUCAGCUCCAAUACCAUCUCCAACGGCUGCCCUGCUCUUUCCCUGAAAGAGAUCUGGUCUGCAACUCAGAGCAACCCAAAUAUAGGCAUUUUGUAGAAAAUGACUAUUUUAUAGGAUUAUGCAAGUGAAAUCCUGAUUUGGUGAGUCUCACCUCAGAAACAUAUUUUGAACUAUAUCCUGAGCUUCCAGAGUUGGAACACAGAUAUUUGACCCUCAGCUAGUGAGUUAACAUGCAUUUCAAUGCCAUAAAUUGCAGGUGUCACAAGCAGAGGUAAUGCAUAUAUGUGUCUAUGCAGCAGAUGCUUCUUAAUGUCUAGGUAUAUAUGACCUCUAAUAUUUCAAGGUCAUUUCUGAAAAUUUUAAUUCCAUAGCAAGUGAACAUCAGCAACAUUUGGUUGACUGACAUCUGAAAUUUUAGCUGUAUGAUAUCUUAAAAUUCAUCUUUAGUUUUUCUGUGUGUGUGUAGCAAGUUGAACUUUGAAAA